GAGCCACCUCAUCCGGGGCCGACGCCAGUGUUCCCGUCCAAGGAGGAGUUCUAUAUCAUGUACAAGCGUCAGCGUCAGUUGACCCCGGGAUUGGGAGAAUCCGGGAACGACACUCCUUGUGGUACGCCGAUGCACCCCGGUCGCCAUUCUCCUGGUGCUUCUGCCGAACCUCGGCAUUUUUCUGGUUCCGGUGGCUCUCGUCGUGGUUCUACCUCCCCGAGCACCGUCGAGAUACAGCGGCCUCACUUCACCCACUCGGAGCUAGAUCGUCUGUAGCUAGAUCGUCACUCGGGUGGUGCACCACCAUAGUUUCUACAUUGUACUAGCACAUGAUGACACGCUCCAUCUUUGUAGUGGAUCCGGUGUAUGUACCAUGGUCUUGUAUGCUAUAUUUGUGCUAUUUGUGAGAUU